AGUUUGAUCCUGGCUCAGAUUGAACGCUGGCGGCAUGCCUUACACAUGCAAGUCGAACGGCAGCGCGGGGGCAACCCUGGCGGCGAGUGGCGAACGGGUGAGUAAUACAUCGGAACGUGUCCUGUAGUGGGGGAUAGCCCGGCGAAAGCCGGAUUAAUACCGCAUACGCUCUACGGAGGAAAGGGGGGGAUCUUAGGACCUCUCGCUACAGGGGCGGCCGAUGGCAGAUUAGCUAGUUGGUGGGGUAAAGGCCUACCAAGGCGACGAUCUGUAGCUGGUCUGAGAGGACGACCAGCCACACUGGGACUGAGACACGGCCCAGACUCCUACGGGAGGCAGCAGUGGGGAAUUUUGGACAAUGGGCGCAAGCCUGAUCCAGCAAUGCCGCGUGUGUGAAGAAGGCCUUCGGGUUGUAAAGCACUUUUGUCCGGAAAGAAAACGCCGUGGUUAAUACCCGUGGCGGAUGACGGUACCGGAAGAAUAAGCACCGGCUAACUACGUGCCAGCAGCCGCGGUAAUACGUAGGGUGCAAGCGUUAAUCGGAAUUACUGGGCGUAAAGCGUGCGCAGGCGGUCCGCUAAGACAGAUGUGAAAUCCCCGGGCUUAACCUGGGAACUGCAUUUGUGACUGGCGGGCUAGAGUAUGGCAGAGGGGGGUAGAAUUCCACGUGUAGCAGUGAAAUGCGUAGAGAUGUGGAGGAAUACCGAUGGCGAAGGCAGCCCCCUGGGCCAAUACUGACGCUCAUGCACGAAAGCGUGGGGAGCAAACAGGAUUAGAUACCCUGGUAGUCCACGCCCCAAACGAUGUCAACUAGUUGUUGGGGAUUCAUUUCCUUAGUAACGUAGCUAACGCGUGAAGUUGACCGCCUGGGGAGUACGGUCGCAAGAUUAAAACUCAAAGGAAUUGACGG
rnacentral:rRNA from 1 species